GGGCUUAUAGUCUAGAGGUUAUGACGUCGCCCUCACACGGCGGAGCUCGCCGGUUCGAAUCCGGCUAAGCCCA
rnacentral:tRNA from 1 species